rnacentral:ribozyme from 1 species
CACCUUUCUCACCAAACAACUGCUCGAGCAGCGGGCUGUGGAAAUUCACCUCAACACAAGAGAACUCAAUUAUCUCAAA